GGCGGCGUGCUUAGCAUGCAAGUCGGACGGGAAUGAGUCGCAANNUUCAAACCAGUGGCGGACGGGUGAGUCCAAGCAAGGAACCUGUCCCCUAGUCUCGCAUCGCUCGUCGAAAGCCGGGGUCAUCCGGUAUGUGGGGGAUNCCGUCUGCUCUCCCCUAAAGAGNUUAACCUCUCGCUUUUGGAGCGGCCUUGUGGCUAUCAGCCAGUUGGCAGGGUAAAAGCCUACCAAGGCGACGACGGCUAGGGGGCGUGAGAGCGCGACCCCCCACAAUGGCACUGAGACACGGGCCAUACAUCUACGGAUGGCAGCAACUGGGAAUCGUUGGCAAUGGGCGAAAGCCUGACCACGCGACGCCGCGUGAGGGAUGAAGGCCUUCGGGUCGUAAACCUCUUUUGAUGCCUCAUGAAGGGGCAUAGAAUAAGCAUCUACAAACUACGUGCCAGCAGUCGCGGUAAUACGUAGGAUGCAAGCGUUAUCCGGAUUCACUGGGCGUAAAGAGUCGUGUAGGUGGUUUGCCGCAUCGUACUUGAAAGCCCGAGGCUUAACCUCGGCGUUGGGUACGAGAUGGGUAGACUUGAGAGAAGCAGAGGAAAGGGGAACUGACGGUGAAGCAGUGAAAUGCGUUGAUAUCGUCAGGAACACCAAAGGCGAAGGCACCUUUCUGGGCUUCUUCUGACACUGAGACACGAAAGCUAGGGGAGCGAAGCAGAUUAGAGACCUGCGUAGUCCUAGCCCUAAACGCAUGUCUGCUAGAUGGGCAGUUUACUGUCUGUCGUAAGCUAACGCGUUAAGCAGACCGCCUGGGGAGUACGAUCGCAAGAUUAAAACUCAAAGGAAUUGACGGGGACCCGCACAACCGGUGGAGCGUGUGGUUCAAUUCGAUACAAAACGUAAGACCUCACCAGGUCUUGACAUCCCGACGUCCUAUCCCGAUGAAAAUCGGGAAAGUUCGCAAGAAGGUCGGGACAGCAGCUGCAUGGCUGUCGUCAGCUCGUGCCGUGGGGUGUUUCCUUAAGUGGAAGAACGAGCGCAACCCGUAUCCAAUGUUAUAUGUUUCAUUGGAGACUGCGGUGGCUUUAGCCACCGAGGAAGGAACGGACGACGUCAAGUCAGCACGGCGCUUAUGACCUGGGUAACACACACCCUACAAUGGCGAAUAACAAUGGGAUGCAAUGCGGCAACGUAAAGCCAAUCCCCUGUAAAUUUCGCCUCAGUUCAGAUUGGGGGCUGCAACCCGCCCCCAUGAAGUCGGAAUCGGUAGUAAUCGCGCAUCAGCAGGGCGCGGUGAAUACGUUCUCGGGUCUUGUACACACCGCCCGUCAAGCCAGCAAAGUUAGCGGCGGCCGAAGAGCCUCGCAAGGGAGCUAAGCCGAAG
rnacentral:rRNA from 1 species